rnacentral:rRNA from 1 species
CACGUAGGGCGCAAGCGUUGUCCGGAAUUAUUGGGCGUAAAGAGCUCGUAGGCGGUCUGUCGCGUCGGCUGUGAAAACUCGGGGCUCAACCCCGAGCCUGCAGUCGAUACGGGCAGACUAGAGUGCUGUAGGGGAGACUGGAAUUCCUGGUGUAGCGGUGAAAUGCGUAGAUAUCUGGAGGAAUACCGGUGGCGAAGGCGGCAUCCUGGACCGACAUUGACGCUGAGGAGCGAAAGCUAGGGGAGCAAACGGG